CGAGAACGCCGCGUCGUGCGGUUUCCUUCUUUACGAAGGCGCGCAGGAGCGCGAGGCGCAUCCGCUGCUGCAGCUUCUGACGCGGCCCAAUGCGCGGCCGGACGGCGCGGGUUUCUUCGAGGCGCUCUNNNNNNNNNNUGCUGCUGGCGGGCAAUGCCUAUGUCGAGGCCGUCGCGCUCGGUGACGAGGUGCGCGAACUCUACACGCUGCGGCCUGACCGCAUGAAGGUGGUGCCCGGUCA
rnacentral:misc_RNA from 1 species